rnacentral:rRNA from 1 species
UACAGAGGGUGCAAGCGUUGUUCGGAAUUACUGGGCGUAAAGCGCGUGUAGGCGGUCUGAUAAGUCAGAUGUGAAAUCCCUAGGCUCAACCAAGGAACUGCAUUUGAAACUGUCGAACUAGAGUGUCGGAGGGGGUGGCGGAAUUCCCGGUGUAGAGGUGAAAUUCGUAGAUAUCGGGAGGAACACCUGUGGCGAAGGCGGCCACCUGGAAGACAACUGACGCUGAGACGCGAAAGCGUGGGUAGCAAACAGG